rnacentral:rRNA from 1 species
UACGUAGGGUGCAAGCGUUAAUCGGAAUUACUGGGCGUAAAGCGUGCGCAGGCGGCUUUGCAAGACAGAUGUGAAAUCCCCGGGCUUAACCUGGGAACUGCAUUUGUGACUGCAUGGCUAGAGUGCGGCAGAGGGGGAUGGAAUUCCGCGUGUAGCAGUGAAAUGCGUAGAUAUGCGGAGGAACACCGAUGGCGAAGGCAAUCCCCUGGGCCUGCACUGACGCUCAUGCACGAAAGCGUGGGGAGCGAACCGG